rnacentral:rRNA from 1 species
GACAGAGGUGCCGAGCGUUAGGCGGAAUCACUGGGCUUAAAGCGUGUGUAGGCGGACCGUUAAGUACCUUGUGAAAUCCCCCGGCUCAACCGGGGAACGGCUGGGUAUACUGGCGGUCUUGAGCCAUCCAGGGGCAGUCGGAACAGACGGUGGAGCGGUGAAAUGCGUAGAUAUCGUCUGGAACGCCGAAGGUGAGAACAGACUGCUGGGGAUGCGCUGACGCUGAGACACGAAAGCCAGGGGAGCGAACGGG